rnacentral:rRNA from 1 species
AACGAACGCUGGCGGCGUGGAUAAGACAUGCAAGUCGAACGGGACAGGUAGCAAUAUCUGUCUAGUGGCGAACGGGUGCGUAACACGUGGGCAACAUGCCUGGAAGAGCGGGAUAGCCCGGGGAAACUCGGAUUAAUACCGCAUGUGACAACGGGGCGGCUUCGCCCUGUUUUCAAAGGUGGGGACCGCAAGGCCUGCCGCUUCCAGAUUGGCCCGCGUCCUAUCAGCUAGUUGGCGGGGUAACGGCCCACCAAGGCGACGACGGGUAGCUGGUCUGAGAGGACGAGCAGCCACACUGGAACUGAGACACGGUCCAGACACCUACGGGUGGCAGCAGUCGAGAAUCUUUCACAAUGGGGGAAACCCUGAUGGAGCGACGCCGCGUGGAGGAUGACGGUCUUCGGAUUGUAAACUCCUGUCAUGAAAGAGCAAGCGAUGCGGGUGAACAGCCCGCAAAGUUGAUAGUAUUUCAAGAGGAAGGGACGGCUAACUUCGUGCCAGCAGCCGCGGUAAGAC